CCUACGGGGGGCAGCAGUGGGGAAUAUUGCACAAUGGGGGGAACCCUGAUGCAGCGACGCCGCGGGAGUGAAGAAGUAUUUCGGUAUGUAAAGCUCUAUCAGCAGGGAAGAAAAUGACGGUACCUGACUAAGAAGCCCCGGCUAACUACGUGCCAGCAGCCGCGGUAAUACGUAGGGGGCAAGCGUUAUCCGGAUUUACUGGGUGGAAAGGGAGCGUAGACGGCAGCGCAAGUCUGAAGUGAAAGCCCGCGGCCCAACUGCGGGACUGCUUUGGAAACUGCCCGGCUAGAGGGCGGGAGAGGUAAGCGGAAUUCCGAGGUGAGCGGUGAAAGGCGGAGAUAUUAGGAGGAAAACCAGGGGCGGAGGCGGCUUACUGGACAGGAACUGACGGUGAGGCUCGAAAGCGUGGGGAGCAAACAGGAUUAGAUACCCCUGUAGUC
rnacentral:rRNA from 1 species